CCUACGGGGGGCUGCAGUGGGGAAUUUUGGACAAUGGGGGCAACCCUGAUCCAGCCAUGCCGCGUGCGGGAAGAAGGCCUUCGGGUUGUAAACCGCUUUUGUCAGGAGAGAAAUCUCUUGGGCUAAUACCCUGAGAGGAUGACGGUACCUGAAGAAUAAGCACCGGCUAACUACGUGCCAGCAGCCGCGGUAAUACGUAGGGUGCAAGCGGUAAUCGAAGUUACCGGAGGUAAAUGUGGCACACAGGGUUGAAAUCCCCGGGCUUAACCUGGGAACUGCACUUGGGACUGCACGGCUAGAGUACGGCAGAGGGGGAUGGAAUUCCGCGUGUAGCAGUGAAAUGCGUAGAUAUGCGGAGGAACACCGAUGGCGAAGGCAGUCCCCUGGGCCUGUACUGACGCUCAUGCACGAAAGCGUGGGGAGCAAACAGGAUUAGAUACCCCAGUAGUC
rnacentral:rRNA from 1 species